CCUACGGGAGGCAGCAGUGGGGAAUCUUGCGCAAUGGGGGAAACCCUGACGCAGCAACGCCGCGUGGGUGAUGAAGGCCUUCGGGUCGUAAAGCCCUGUCAGGUGGGAAGAAACUUGUGGAUGUUAAUACCAUCCGCACUUGACGGUACCACCGGAGGAAGCACCGGCUAACUCCGUGCCAGCAGCCGCGGUAAUACGGAGGGUGCAAGCGUUGUUCGGAAUUAUUGGGCGUAAAGCGCGUGUAGGUGGUCAGGUAAGUCAGAUGUGAAAGCCUUCUGCUUAACAGAAGAAGUGCAUUUGAAACUGCUUGGCUAGAGUACGGGAGAGGAGAGUGGAAUUCCCGGUGUAGAGGUGAAAUUCGUAGAUAUCGGGAGGAACACCAGUGGCGAAGGCGGCUCUCUGGUCCGAUACUGACACUGAGACGCGAAAGCGUGGGGAGCAAACAGGAUUAGAUACCCUGGUAGUCCACGCCGUAAACGAUGGGCACUAGGUGUAGGAGGUAUUGACCCCUUCUGUGCCGAAGCUAACGCAUUAAGUGCCCCGCCUGGGGAGUACGGCCGCAAGGCUAAAACUCAAAGGAAUUGACGG
rnacentral:rRNA from 1 species